GACGAACGCUGGCGGCGUGCCUAACACAUGCAAGUCGAACGGGGCUCUUUGGAUCGAGACUUCGGUCAAGUGAAUCUGAGCUUAGUGGCGGACGGGUGAGUAACGCGUGAGCAACCUGCCUUUCAGAGGGGGACAACAGUUGGAAACGACUGCUAAUACCGCAUAAUGUGUUUUGGGGGCAUCCCCGAAAUACCAAAGAUUAUAUCGCUUGAAGAUGGACUCGCGUCCGAUUAGCCAGUUGGCGGGGUAACGGCCCACCAAAGCGACGAUCGGUAGCCGGACUGAGAGGUUGAACGGCCACAUUGGGACUGAGACACGGCCCAG
rnacentral:rRNA from 1 species